ensembl:lncRNA
ACCUGUUUCUUAAAGCCCUGCUGGGGGUUGGAAGCCAUUUGCUCCUCUUGUGUUUCUAAGCCUGAGAAGAUCCACGAUCUCCGUGAGUGGGUACUUUAGAUGGGUACAUUCAGACUGGGCAGUUUAUAAGCCUGUUUGGUGGCCAGUUUACGUCCAAUUGUGUAAAAGGCAGAGGAGUCUACUUCACUUCUCGAGCUUCUGACCCUCUCAAUAGUCCUGCAGAAUUCCAGUGGUGGCAAUAUCGAGGAGAAUCUGAAGAUUUCGGAGCAAGCUGAAGGGCACGUGAAUAAAUCUACCUAGAGAGAAAACUGAACAUCCAGACUGGUCUUCCGUAACAGCUGCGAAAGGUCAAACCAAGGCCCAAAGACUGAAUUCCAUGUCUGAAGCGGGGGCAUUUUCUUUUCCGUAACAGAUUGAGAGCCUAAGCCCAUUGCCAUUAAGAUGAUGGGCUGCUUUUUCAUCAUGACCAGCAGGCCAAGGUUUGCUCUCAAGGUUUUUGGGAACUACAAACCUGUGAACAGUAUGGCAGGGAUGCUGGCUACAUCUGUGUGAAUAAAUUAUCUUGUGAGAUUGCUGAUUUUUAUCAGAGAAGAAGGCAGCAAGACAGUUUUGUCAAGUUAUCUUAAAGUGCAGUUUCCUCUACCACUGAAAAAUUAUUUUGAAAAUCAUUUUGGAUUACUAGAAAAAUACAGUUAUCUGGAACAUAUCUCAUUUAGCUCUUUUAACCCCUUAAAAAUGAAGAGAUAUAUAUGCUUAUAUCUGAGUACUUUUGAAAAUCUUUUGUUACUUCUAAUGUUCUCUUCUCUUACGUUUGUCACUAUAAGAAAUUAAUAUCAAAUAUGGUCAACUUGCUGUUUUAUUCUUCUUUUCCCACCCUUCUCUUCAAACCUCCCCAGUUUCACCUGAAAUUGUUCAACUCUUCUACUCCUGGCUCUUUUGUGAAUAUUUAGUCAUAUAUCAAAUACUGACUGACUUAAACAAUUGUGACAGUCCAAGUAAGUGUGCGUGCCCAAAUGUUGAAGCCUGGAAAAAACAAGCUAGACAAAUAAACAGUC